CCCUUAGAUGUUCUGGGCCGCACGCGCGCUACACUGAAGGGAUCAGCGUGUUUUCCCUUUCCGAGAGGAACGGGUAACCCGCUGAACCCCCUUCGUGGUGGGGAUCGGAGCUUGCAAUUGUUCUCCGUGAACCAGGAAUUCCCAGUAAGCGCAAGUCAUAAGCUUGCGUUGAUUACGUCCCUGCCCUUUGUACACACCGCCCGUCGCUACUACCGAUUGAACGUUUUAGUGAGGUAUUUGGACUGGGCCUUGGGAGGUUUCGGCCUCCCUUGUUGCUCGGAAAGACUCCCAAACUUGAGCGUUUAGAGGAAGUAAAAGUCGUAACA
rnacentral:rRNA from 1 species